CAGACCUCCUAACCCUUCCAAAUGCUAAAAGCCUCUCCUUUUGUGCUGAGUCGUUCUAAUUCUCGUCUCCCGCUCCCCUUCAAUAAACUUCACGAUCAUCGUCGUCGUCUUCAGUGCUGUUGAGUUUGAGCAUCUAAAGGGAUCAUCAAGUGGGAUGGCUACUAAAAGUGAAAUAGGCCUGGUAAUGGUACCAUCACUGCAACUAUUUCUGAACUAUGGCUCGUCUUGAUGACUAGAGAAAGGAAAUGAUGCCUCUGUUAGGGUUAUUUAAGUUCCUUCUGAUAAAGGAAAUGAUGACUGUUCAUGAACUACUAGUCUUGAGAAGUAAAUUCAAACCUAUGUAUCUGCACAUCUUAUACUGGCUUUACUAGCAGAAGAGCCAACUGGAAAGAAUAUAGUGCAAUGGUUGAUGAGUUUGAAGGGCUGAAACUUGGUAUGAUGAAUUCAUGUAGAGUUCCAAAAUGUGACAUUCAGAGUGCAGAAUUCAUGGCUGAAUCUGUUGUGUUCGACGAGAUAAAGAACUGGUCCUUGGUUUGUCUGGUUCCUCGAAUCAUUCUAUAUCCACACUGCAGAUCAAAACUUGGAAGCAUGCCAGUGAACGAGCUGAAGGCUGAAACCCUACAGAGCCGAUCCUGGGAUAGAUUACCGGAAAUACUCAGCUGCUUGGCUUACUGAUUCCUCAAGAACAACACAAAAAGAUUGAGUGGUUUCAGAUACUUAGUAGGUUUUCCCUUUCUUUUCUUUUUUUCUCUUUUUUGCUUCAAACUCGAAUUUGGCACCAAGUUGUUGUUUCAUCCAAAUGUAUAGCAUAUCAGACCUUUCUAGCAAGUUCAGCACAAGAAAGAUUAUUACAAUACAGCAGUACAAAACUUCCAAGUCCUUGACAUGUCUGUAUUGUGAGAUGUAGAUUUCUGGUGCCAUUUCGUUUCUCAUUUGCUAGGAAUCCUUUAUUGACUUUGGUUGCUUUCUGAUUAGAGAACCACCAUAGCUGUGCUGGUGUUGAUCUCCUCAAAAAUGGUUGUAGUUUGAUCUCCCCAGAUUCCUUGUAUUGCUAUUCCACAUAUCAUAUUUAA